rnacentral:rRNA from 1 species
UACGUAGGGGGCAAGCGUUGUCCGGAUUUAUUGGGCGUAAAGAGCGUGUAGGCGGCCUGACAGGUCUGCUGUGAAAACUCGAGGCUCAACCUCGAGAUGUCGGCGGAAACCGUCUGGCUAGAGUCCGGAAGAGGAGAGUGGAAUUCCUGGUGUAGCGGUGAAAUGCGCAGAUAUCAGGAAGAACACCUAUGGCGAAGGCAGCUCUCUGGGACGGUACUGACGCUGAGACGCGAGAGCGUGGGGAGCGAACAGG